UGCUAUAGCAGCACAUCAUGGUUUACAUAUUAUUGACAAGAUGCGAAUCAUUAUUUGCUGCUUUAGAAAUUUAAGG
rnacentral:pre_miRNA from 1 species